GGGUAGGCGUGGCUUAGUAGCUGACCCCCGCUCCGUGGGCGGCGCUGGUUGACCUCGACCACGGGGCACACACUGUGGAAUUGGUGGGGUCGACUACUCAGGGACAAACAGCGUUGUAGGGGAGGAAUCCACUACCAGUUCACCAAGUACUUGUUUUACCCACAAUGCCCAGCUCUCAGACGUCACUGUUGUCAACACUAUAACACAAUAAUGGUUAUUUGUGCAGUUUACGGGUGUAGCAACAAACCUAAAAUCAGAACCAGAGAGCACAUUAAGUAUUUCAGAUUCCCCAGAGAUAAGGACACGUGUAAUAAAUGGAUACAAGCUUGUAAGCGCUCUGAUGAAGUCAACACUAAAUUUGCCCGGGUGUGUUCUCUCCACUUCCAAGAAACUGAUUACAAACUUGAGUACAGAAUAAUGAAAGUGCGGCUACAACUAUCACCAAAAAGAACUAGACCACUGUACCCGUGGGCUGUACCAUCCCUACAACUACCAAAGGCAAAAUCAGUUACAGAGAAACCGGCGUCUAUCACUCGGAAGAUACGAGCCGAUAAAAGAAAUAAUAAAAGACUUGUACGAGAGAUAGUCAGAGAAUGUGGCCCAGCGAUACAGGAGAAUCCUGACCAACAAAAGGAAUCACUUUUGUACAUAAGACAACAGCCAGAUGCUGAACCAACAACUCCAUCAACCUCAGAAGAUGGUGUACCUCCUGGGAACAAUAAGGGCAGACCAGCAAAUAAAACAAGAAAGAGAAAGAUAUUGGCACAAGAUGUGACUCAAAUACAAACUGAGGAUCAAGAUGAACAACAAAGUGGACCAAGAACAAAGAGAAAAGGAUCAAAAGAGAAAACAUCAGAAAGCCAGAGAGAGGAAACACUUGACAAGGAAGUGCUGGUCCAGCCUAAUACCUGUACUCACAAACACAACAUUCAUGUUGACGUCUCUAGUAAAGGAUGGCAAGUGUUUGGUAUACCUGUAAAGGAAGAAAAUUCAGACAAUGAUGGAUUUAAUGAAGAACUUAAAGGAAAAAUCAAGGAAAUUGAUGAAAUUGUGAAAGAAGAAGAAGUUUACUGUGAUGAAGAGUUCUCAUGUGAAAAACCAGACCAAGGUUUGAAAGUGAAGGAAAACGACCUGGAAAAUUAUGUAUUUGUAAAAGUUGGAAUACUGGACAGUGAUGAGUCUAAGAAGGAAGAUACAACAGAUGGUGACUUGUAUGUGACUGUAGGAAUACAUGAUGUUUAACAGAUGUGCUGGGAGACAAAAUUACAACAGAAAAACUUUAGAUGACGUGUAACAACUGACGCUGAAAACUGUGGUCUUAAUAUACUUUAAUACAGGUAGAUCCUACAAAAUCCAAGAGAUAUAGAUGAUUUACUAUAUCAGGAGGACGACCUACACAUGGAUCUACAUGAUGUUCUCCAUAAACCUGCACCACCAGAAAGCACCUUCCCAAAGGAGCAACAAAGAUGUGAACAGUGGUUACAGGUUGAUACAACUGUGUUUAAAUAAGCCACUCAAAACUCAACUGGAGUUUUGUUCUAUGCAGCCAACACUUCACCCGGAUUCAUUCUUUCUGUCUUUAUUACUUUCUUUCACUGAAACAUCUGAAUGUUUACUUCAUAUGUUAAUAAAUAGUUGCAUUUGUCAGACACUUCUUGUAAUAAAAAUAAAUAAAUAUACUACUAUACUGCC
rnacentral:misc_RNA from 1 species